rnacentral:tRNA from 2 species
GGUGACGUGUCCGAGCGGCCGAAGGUGCAACACUCGAAAUGUUGUGUAGGGUAACCCCCUACCGCGGGUUCAAAUCCCGCCGUCACCGCCA